rnacentral:rRNA from 2 species
UCGAGAAUAAUUCACAAUGGGGGCAACCCUGAUGGUGCAACGCCGCGUGGAGGAUGAAGGUCUUCGGAUUGUAAACUCCUGUCAUCUGGGAGCAAGACCUGGCGAUGAAUAGUCGACAGGGUUGAUAGUACCAGAAGAGGAAGGGACGGCUAACUUCGUGCCAGCAGCCGCGGUAAUACGAAGGUCCCGAGCGUUGUUCGGAAUCACUGGGCGUAAAGGGAGCGUAGGCGGCGCAGUAAGUCAGAUGUGAAAUCCCGGGGCUCAACCCCGGAACUGCAUCCGAUACUGCUGUGCUUGAGGGUUGGAGAGGUAGCUGGAAUUCUCGGUGUAGCAGUGAAAUGCGUAGAUAUCGAGAGGAACACUCGUGGCGAAAGCGAGCUACUGGACAACACCUGACGCUGAGGCUCGAAGGCCAGGGUAGCGAAAGGG